UACGUAGGGUGCAAGCGUUGUCCGGAAUUAUUGGGCGUAAAGAGCUCGUAGGCGGUUUGUCGCGUCUGCUGUGAAAACCCGAGGCUCAACCUCGGGCCUGCAGUGGGUACGGGCAGACUAGAGUGCGGUAGGGGAGACUGGAAUUCCUGGUGUAGCGGUGAAAUGCGCAGAUAUCAGGAGGAACACCGGUGGCGAAGGCGGGGUCUCUGGGCCGAUACUGAC
rnacentral:rRNA from 1 species